ACGAACGCUGGCGGCGUGCCUAAUACAUGCCAGUAGAACGCACAGUUUAUACCGUAGCUUGCUACACCAUAGACUGUGAGUUGCGAACGGGUGAGUAACGCGUAGGUAACCUGCCUGGUAGCGGGGGAUAACUAUUGGAAACGAUAGCUAAUACCGCAUAAUAUUAAUUAUUGCAUGAUAAUUAAUUGAAAGGUGCAAUUGCACCACUACCAGAUGGACCUGCGUUGUAUUAGCUAGUAGGUGAGGUAACGGCUCACCUAGGCGACGAUACAUAGCCGACCUGAGAGGGUGAGCGGCCACACUGGGACUGGGACACGGCCCAGACUCCUACGGGAGGCAGCAGUAGGGAAUCUUCGGCAAUGGACGAAAGUCUGACCGAGCAACGCCGCGUGAGUGAAGAAGGUUUUCGGAUCGUAAAGCUCUGUUGUAAGAGAAGAACGGGUGUGAGAGUGGAAAGUUCACACUGUGACGGUAUCUUACCAGAAAGGGACGGCUAACUACGUG
rnacentral:rRNA from 1 species